AGAGUUUGAUCCUGGCUCAGGAUGAACGCUAGCUACAGGCUUAACACAUGCAAGUCGAGGGGCAGCAUCAUCAAAGCUUGCUUUGAUGGAUGGCGACCGGCGCACGGGUGAGUAACACGUAUCCAACCUGCCGACAACACUGGGAUAGCCUUUCGAAAGAAAGAUUAAUACCGGAUGGCAUAGUUUUCCCGCAUGGGAUAAUUAUUAAAGAAUUUCGGUUGUCGAUGGGGAUGCGUUCCAUUAGGCAGUUGGCGGGGUAACGGCCCACCAAACCAACGAUGGAUAGGGGUUCUGAGAGGAAGGUCCCCCACAUUGGAACUGAGACACGGUCCAAACUCCUACGGGAGGCAGCAGUGAGGAAUAUUGGUCAAUGGACGAGAGUCUGAACCAGCCAAGUAGCGUGAAGGAUGACUGCCCUAUGGGUUGUAAACUUCUUUUAUAAAGGAAUAAAGUCGGGUAUGGAUACCCGUUUGCAUGUACUUUAUGAAUAAGGAUCGGCUAACUCCGUGCCAGCAGCCGCGGUAAUACGGAGGAUCCGAGCGUUAUCCGGAUUUAUUGGGUUUAAAGGGAGCGUAGGCGGGUUGUUAAGUCAGUUGUGAAAGUUUGCGGCUCAACCGUAAAAUUGCAGUUGAUACUGGCGACCUUGAGUGCAACAGAGGUAGGCGGAAUUCGUGGUGUAGCGGUGAAAUGCUUAGAUAUCACGAAGAACUCCGAUUGCGAAGGCAGCUUACUGGAUUGUAACUGACGCUGAUGCUCGAAAGUGUGGGUAUCAAACAGGAUUAGAUACCCUGGUAGUCCACACAGUAAACGAUGAAUACUCGCUGUUUGCGAUAUACAGUAAGCGGCCAAGCGAAAGCAUUAAGUAUUCCACCUGGGGAGUACGCCGGCAACGGUGAAACUCAAAGGAAUUGACGGGGGCCCGCACAAGCGGAGGAACAUGUGGUUUAA
rnacentral:rRNA from 1 species